rnacentral:rRNA from 1 species
GGGAAUCUUCCACAAUGGGCGAAAGCCUGAUGGAGCAACGCCGCGUGGGUGAAGAAGGUCUUCGGAUCGUAAAACUCUGUUGUUAGAGAAGAACAAGGAUGAGAGUAGAACGUUCAUCCCUUGACGGUAUCUAACCAGAAAGCCACGGCUAACUACGUGCCAGCAGCCGCGGUAAUACGUAGGGGGCUAGCGUUAUCCGGAAUUACUGGGCGUAAAGGGUGCGUAGGUGGUUUCUUAAGUCAGAGGUGAAAGGCUACGGCUCAACCGUAGUAAGCCUUUGAAACUGGGGAACUUGAGUGCAGAAGAGGAGAGUGGAACUCCAUGUGUAGCGGUGAAAUGCGUAGAUAUAUGGAAGAACACCAGUGGCGAAAGCGGCUCUCUGGUCUGUAACUGACGCUGAGGUUCGAAAGCGUGGGUAGCA